rnacentral:rRNA from 1 species
AUUGAACGCUGGCGGCAGGCCUAACACAUGCAAGUCGAACGAGUGGCGGACGGGUGAGUAAUGUCUGGGAAACUGCCUGAUGGAGGGGGAUAACUACUGGAAACGGUAGCUAAUACCGCAUACCAUCGGAUGUGCCCAGAUGGUAUGAGCUAGUGGGUGGGGUAAAGGCUCACCUAGGCGACGAUCCCUAGCUGGUCUGAGAGGAUGACCAGCAACACUGGAACGGAGACCCGGUCCAGACUCCUCCGGUAGGCAGCAUUGGGGAAGAUUGCACAAUGGUCGCAAGCCUGAUACAGCCAGGGCGCGUGUAUGAAGAAGGCCUUCGGGUUGUAAAGUACUUGCAGCGGGGAGGCGUUACCCGCAGAAGAAGCACCGGCUAACUCCGUGCCAGCAGCCGCGGUAAUAC